rnacentral:rRNA from 1 species
UACGUAGGCAGCGAGCGUUGUUCGGAGUUACUGGGCGUAAAGGGUGUGUAGGUGGCGCGCUAAGUCGGGUGUGAAAUCUCGGAGCUUAACUCCGAAACUGCAUUCGAUACUGCCGUGCUUGAGGACUGGAGAGGAGACUGGAAUUUACGGUGUAGCGGUGAAAUGCGUAGAUAUCGUAAGGAAGACCAGUGGCGAAGGCGGGUCUCUGGACAGUUCCUGACGCUGAGGCACGAAGGUCAGGGGAGCAAACGGG